GAUGCAGAAGCCAGGAUGGGGAAUUCUCAUAGCAUGGAGCAGUGGACGGUGGGGUUAGUGGUGCCUGGGGUUGAGAAGACCAUGGAGAGACACACAGAAGUGUAUCCGGCUUCCAGAACAUUCUAUAUCACAGGCAAUGUGCCCAUCAAAUCUGGACUUCAGCCACCCCAUGGUUCCCUUUAAAUGGUUCAUCUUCCUGAAAGAUCUGUGUGUGUUAUUAAGAAUUUAACAUCAAAAAAACACUUCUAAUCCAGAGCUGAUGGUGGAGAGAGGGACCCCAUAGGCAGCUCAUGGUUCCUACUCUGCUGGUUCUCCAGCAGCACCCUCGUGUCCUCCAGGUCCCAGGUGAGGUGGUGACACUUCCUCUUCAGUUGGUGAGCCAUCUUCUUGGCCUCUUCAUACGCAGUCUGCAACUCCCCAAGCUAUGGAGAGAAGAGAGAGAGAGGUUCACUGGCGCCCCCCCCCCAUUUCUAAGCUCUGUCCGGGCCUUCAUCUCCGAGUCCAACCUCUCCUCACACUGUUGAAGGCGCUUUCGUAGGAAAACAUUCUCCAUCUGAGCGCAGUCCAAACGCAUCUGCCACUCGUCCGCUGUGUGACAGAGUCAAUGGCUGCCUCCAUUCAGCAGAGAGAAUCCAUGUCACAGUGGGAACUGGGCAAAGAUGUCACUAUCCUAUCCAACCAGAAAGCCAAGUCCCUCGGCAGUGGUAUAACUGGUGCACUGAUGCUGCCUGCCUCUCACUGGGCAGUCACUCAGCCAGCCUCAACUUGAUCAUGUAUGUGAGAGCAUGCAGAGCCCGAAUUCCUCAUGGUGAAGAGGUAGCUGAUGGCUAUGGGUUAGUCUACUCCAUAUGGCCCGGCUCUGCAUACUCAUGGUCUGGAACCAUCUACAUUUGAAUGUGAGGAAUCUGAGACUCAGGGCAACUUUGAAUAGCAGGGUAUGAUUCAAAUACAGAGGGGAAAUUU
rnacentral:lncRNA from 1 species